rnacentral:rRNA from 1 species
UACGUAGGUGGCAAGCGUUGUCCGGAUUUAUUGGGCGUAAAGCGCGCGCAGGUGGUUUCUUAAGUCUGAUGUGAAAGCCCACGGCUCAACCGUGGAGGUCAUUGGAAACUGGGAGACUUGAGUGCAGAAGAGGAUAGUGGAAUUCCAAGUGUAGCGGUGAAAUGCGUAGAGAUUUGGAGGAACACCAGUGGCGAAGGCGACUGUCUGGUCUGUAACUGACACUGAGGCGCGAAAAGCGUGGGAGCAAACAGGAUUAGAUACCCGCGUAGUC